CUCCCACCAGAAUAAAAGCCAUUACCAUGGCUUCCAUAUCUCAAGACUUCACCUUUGAAUAUAUCAAUACAAAAACUCAAAUUAACUACAGGCUAUAGAACAACUAUGUUUCCCUUCUUUGCUUCCAGCCAUGUCUAUGCAAUUCAAGAUAGCCUGCGCAGUUUUUAACCAUUUUAUGCAUGCACCUGGCUUUGCUCAUCCACACAUCAGCACUCAAUGUAUCCCUGACAGCCAUAUGACUAACCGCAUAAAAACAAGUCUAUUAAGUUCAAUGCUCUCUUCUUAUUAUGCAUAUUUCAACGUCCCAAUUUUGUCCACAUUCUAAAGCAACUUAUUAAUAAACAUUAAACAAAAAAGAGAGGAAAAUAAGUGGGAAAAGGGAGGAUAUACAACCAUGACAACUUGUUCAGGAUCAG
rnacentral:misc_RNA from 1 species